rnacentral:snoRNA from 1 species
GGGGAAGGAAGUACAUAGGAACUCUCUGCGCGUCCUUCUAUACUUCUCAAAAGUGAAAAGAAGCUGCCUUUCCCUCAUUAGGCUCUAGGAGUGCUGUGAUGGGCAAAAUGGCAGCUGGCACUCCAUAAUGUCCCUGUUCUGUGUUUCUUAGUGUGCUCAGGGAAGACACCAUGGUUGGUAUCCAACAGCGUAGUCACAAAGGGAUUUGAUUGUUGAGAGUGCUGGUAUCCGUGGCUAUGAUCUGGUGUUUCCAAGUUAAGACC